rnacentral:rRNA from 1 species
CCUGAUUGGGACUAAGUCGUAACAAGGUAACCGUAGGUGAAACCUGCAGAAGGAUCA